CUUCACCGAGCCCAGCCGGAGCGGGCGGUUCUCCGGCCGCUCCCGGCCGUAGGUGACGAGGAGCGCCUGGGCCUC
rfam:Streptomyces sp. FXJ1.172 contig00162, whole genome shotgun sequence.